UUUCCGGUUUUUAUUUAUUUCAUUUGAUUAUAUGAUGAUAGAUUGAUGGAAAGAAAAAGAAAAAAAUCCAACGAUUGUUAUCAAAAAUAUCGCUUUACUUGAAAAUAUAUUUCACAAACCUUAAUUAUCAUUAUUAUUUAGUUCCGAAUUUUUCAAAUUGAAUAAUUAUUUUUGCGUUUUCUUGUGAAAAACACAUGCAGAGAAAUUGGAUCCAUCACCCUUGUGGCGUUUAGUAACUGAUUGCCAGUGAAUCUGUCAACCGAUUCGAAGAUAAAGAUUUGAUGAAAAUCAACAUAUAUCCAACCCAAUGGAUUUGCAGAAAAAGUGUUGAAUCGAUUCGUUUGCUCAAAAGAAAAAUCCAGCAGCGUUUUUUCUGGUUGGUGGUCUUUAUUCAUUCAUUCAUGAAAAAUGAAUGAUGAUGACUUUUAAGUCAAAUAUCUAUAUAUCUGGAUUAAAAUUCUAAGAAUCGAAAAGUGAGAA